GGAAUGAAUAGCGAUAGCUAAUUGCACUAGAUUCUAGUGCAAUAUCGACUAUGUUGAAUAAAAUUCUGGGUAUAAUUAUGAUAAUGACAUUGUUUACUCAUGUGUCUUGACCAAAUUACGUGCCAGCAGUCGCGGUAAUACGUAGAAGACUAGUGUUAUUCAUCUUUAAUAGGUUUAAAGGGUACCUAGACGGUAAAUCAAUCCCUUGCGUAGCAUUACGGAACUAAUUUACUAGAGUUACUUACAAGGGGGUUAUAAAGUACUAAUGGUGUAGAGAUGAAAUUUUGUAAUACCAUUUUCUGAAAGGAAAGUUAUGGCACUGGUAAAGGCGAAAGCAUCCCCUUAUGUGAUAACUGACGUUGAAGGACGAAGGCUUUGGAUCGCGAAUAGGAUUAGAUACCCUAGUAGUCAAUGCAGAAAAUGAUGAGUGUCAUAGAUUAGAUAUUUAAAUUUAUUCUAUAAAUGAAAGUGUAAGCACUCCACCUCAAGAGUAAUUUGGCAACAUUGGAACUGAAAUCAUUAGACCGUUUCUGAAACCAGUAGUGAAGUAUGUUGUUUAAUUUGAUAAUCCGCAAAAAACCUUACCACAAUUUGAAUAUGGAUAUCAUUGAUAUCUUUACAAGCGUUGCACGGCUGUCUACAGUUAAUGUCGUGAGACUUUGGUUAGAUCCAUUAAAUUAACGCAAACCCUUACUUUAUUUAAAAAUAAAGUUGUUCCCCACUAUAUUGGAUAUGAUAACAGGGACUAAGACAAGUCAUCAUGGCCUGAAUCUUUGUGGGCUAUAGACGUGCCACAUAGACCUUUACAAAAGGGUGUGAAAUUGUGAAAUUGAACUAAUCCC
rnacentral:rRNA from 1 species